rnacentral:rRNA from 1 species
UACGUAGGGUGCGAGCGUUGUCCGGAAUUAUUGGGCGUAAAGAGCUUGUAGGCGGUUUGUCGCGUCUGCUGUGAAAGCCCGGGGCUUAACUCCGGGUCUGCAGUGGGUACGGGCAGGCUAGAGUGUGGUAGGGGAGACUGGAAUUCCUGGUGUAGCGGUGAAAUGCGCAGAUAUCAGGAGGAACACCGAUGGCGAAGGCAGGUCUCUGGGCCAUAACUGACGCUGAGGAGCGAAAGCAUGGGGAGCGAACAGG